rnacentral:rRNA from 1 species
AUUGAACGCUGGCGGCAGGCCUAACACAUGCAAGUCGAGCGGAUGAGAGGAGCUUGCUUCUCGAUUCAGCGGCGGACGGGUGAGUAAUGCCUAGGAAUCUGCCUGGUAGUGGGGGACAACGUUUCGACAGGAACGCUAAUACCGCAUACGUCCUACGGGAGAAAGCAGGGGACCUUCGGGCCUUGCGCUAUCAGAUGAGCCUAGGUCGGAUUCGCUAGUUGGUGAGGUAAUGGCUCACCAAGGCGACGAUCCGUAACUGGUCUGAGAGGAUGACCAGUCACACUGGGACUGAGACACGGUCCAGACUCCUACGGGAGGCAGCAGUGGGGAAUAUUGGACAAUGGGCGAAAGCCUGAUCCAGCCAUGCCGCGUGUGUGAAGAAGGUCUUCGGAUUGUAAAGCACUUUAAGUUGGGAGGAAGGGUUGUAGAUUAAUACUCUGCAAUUUUGACGUUACCGACAGAAUAAGCACCGGCUAACUCUGUGCCAGCCGCCGCAGUAACAC